rnacentral:rRNA from 1 species
AAUGAACGCUGGCGGUAUGCCUAAUACAUGCAAGUCGAGCGAACGCACAGUAAGCGUUCGCCUCUAACGUUAGCGAGUGACGGGUGGGUAACACGUAGAUCGGCAUCUACUUUUUCGUGGGGGAUAACGGAGGGCAACAGCCGAUACCACAGAAUAUGACCUACGGCAUAAAGCAGUGGUGCUUCGGACCUUUCGCGACUGAAAGAGCCGAUGUCGGAUUAGCUAGUUGGCGGGGUAAAGGCCCACCAAGGCGACGAUCCGUAGCUGGUCUGAGAGGAUGAUCAGCCACACUGGAACUGAGACACGGUCCAGACUCCUACGGGAGGCAGCAGUAGGGAAUAUUGGACAAUGGGCGCAAGCCUGAUCCAGCCAUGCCGCGUGAGUGAAGAAGGCCUUCGGGUUGUAAAGCCCUUUUGUUAGGAAAGAAAAGCAGCAGGUGAAUACCCCGCUGUUCUGACGGUACCCAAAGAGUAAGCACCGGCUAACUUCGUG